CUGGGAGAUGAAGCCUAUCCAGAAGCACCAGAUCCUGUUUGAUUUGAAGCUAAGCAGGUUCAGCCCUAGUUAGCACUGGGUAGGAGACCACCAGGUGCUUUAGGCAAUAUUUCAGA
rnacentral:rRNA from 1 species